rnacentral:rRNA from 1 species
UACGUAGGGGGCGAGCGUUGUCCGAAGUUACUGGGCGUAAAGCGCGCGUAGGCGGUCUUUUAAGUCUGGUGUGAAAGGUUCAGGGCUCAACCCGAACAGUGCACUGGAUACUGGGAGACUUGAGUAUGGGAGAGGAGAGCGGAAUUCCUGGUGUAGCGGUGAAAUGCGUAGAUAUCAGGAGGAACACCGAUGGCGAAGGCAGCUCUCUGGCCUGUAACUGACGCUGAGGUGCGAAAGCGUGGGGAGCAAACAGG